UGAAGAGAGGGAGGAAGGGAGGCAGGAAGGAAGGAAGGAAGGGUUAAAGAAAAGGACAAAAAAAUAGGCAGGAAAGACAGAAAAAAAGGAUGAAAAGAGGAAAGGGUGAAGAGAAGAAAGGCAAGAAAGGUAAAAGUAAGAGAAAGAAGGAUUAAGAAUGAAGGAAAGAAGAAAAAAGAAAAAAGAAGAAAGGACAAAAAGAAGGAAGAAAAAAGGAAAAGAAAAGAUACUCCACAAGCUUCAGAGGAUGUUGGAA
rnacentral:lncRNA from 1 species